AGUGAACGCUGGCGGUAGGCCUAACACAUGCAAGUCGAACGGCAGCACAGUAAUAGCUUGCUCUUACGGGUGGCGAGUGGCGGACGGGGGAGGAAUACAUCGGAAUCUACGUUGUCUUGGGGGAUAACGUAGGGAAACUUACGCUAAUACCGCAUACGACCUACGGGUGAAAGCAUGGGAUCUUCGGACCUUGCGCGAGUGAAUGAGCCGAUGUCGGAUUAGCUAGUUGGCGGGGUAAAGGCCCACCAAGGCGACGAUCCGUAGCUGGUCUGAGAGGAUGAUCAGCCACACUGGAACUGAGACACGGUCCAGACUCCUACGGGAGGCAGCAGUGGGGAAUAUUGGACAAUGGGCGCAAGCCUGAUCCAGCCAUACCGCGUGGGUGAAGAAGGCCUUCGGGUUGUAAAGCCCUUUUGUUGGGAAAGAAAAGCAGUAGGUUAAUACCCCGCUGUUCUGACGGUACCCAAAGAAUAAGCACCGGCUAACUUCGUG
rnacentral:rRNA from 1 species